rnacentral:rRNA from 1 species
CCUACGGGAGGCAGCAGAGGGGAAUMYWGGACAAUGGGCGCAAGCCUGAUCCAGCCAUGCCGCGUGAGUGAUGAAGGUCUUAGGAUUGUAAAGCUCUUUCACCGGUGAAGAUAAUGACGGUAACCGAAGAAGAAKSCCCGGMUAGCUUCSUGCCAGCAGCCGCGGUAAU